CGAACGCUGGCGGCGUGCCUAAUACAUGCAAGUCGAGCGGACCUCUUCGGAGGUCAGCGGCGGACGGGUGAGUAACACGUGGGCAACCUGCCUGUAAGACUGGGAUAACUCCGGGAAACCGGAGCUAAUACCGGAUACUAUGUCAAACCGCAUGGUUUGACAUUCAAAGACGGUUUCGGCUGUCACUUACAGAUGGGCCCGCGGCGCAUUAGCUAGUUGGUGAGGUAAUGGCUCACCAAGGCGACGAUGCGUAGCCGACCUGAGAGGGUGAUCGGCCACACUGGGACUGAGACACGGCCCAGACUCCUACGGGAGGCAGCAGUAGGGAAUCUUCCGCAAUGGACGAAAGUCUGACGGAGCAACGCCGCGUGAGUGAUGAAGGUUUUCGGAUCGUAAAACUCUGUUGUCAGGGAAGAACAAGUGCCGGAGUAACUGCCGGCGCCUUGACGGUACCUGACCAGAAAGCCACGGCUAACUAC
rnacentral:rRNA from 1 species